rnacentral:rRNA from 1 species
UACAGAGGGUGCAAGCGUUAAUCGGAAUUACUGGGCGUAAAGCGCGCGUAGGCGGUUUGUUUAGUCGGGUGUGAAAGCCCCGGGCUUAACCUGGGAAUUGCAUUCGAUACUGGCAGGCUAGAGUAUGGUAGAGGGAAGUGGAAUUCCGGGUGUAGCGGUGAAAUGCGUAGAUAUCCGGAGGAACACCAGUGGCGAAGGCGGCUUCCUGGACCAAUACUGACGCUGAGGCGCGAAAGCGUGGGGAGCAAACAGG